rnacentral:ncRNA from 2 species
AAAAAUAUCUUAAUAAAAACUUGUAUAAGUCAACAUAUUGGGUUGGUGUUUCUACCUUUUGACCUAUCAGAAGUCUAUAAGUUUUAUGGUUUUUUUA